rnacentral:rRNA from 1 species
CAGCCGCCGCGGGAAUACAGAGGGUGCAAGCGUUAAUCGGAAUUACUGGGCGUAAAGCGCGCGUAGGUGGUUUGUUAAGUUGGAUGUGAAAGCCCCGGGCUCAACCUGGGAACUGCAUCCAAAACUGGCAAGCUAGAGUACGGUAGAGGGUGGUGGAAUUUCCUGUGUAGCGGUGAAAUGCGUAGAUAUAGGAAGGAACACCAGUGGCGAAGGCGACCACCUGGACUGAUACUGACACUGAGGUGCGAAAGCGUGGGGAGCAAACAGGAUUAGAUACCCCCGUAGUCCCUGUCUCUUAUAC